rnacentral:rRNA from 1 species
AUCAAAAACAUGUCUUUGAGAUAAAAAUUUAAAGUCGAAUCUGCUCUAUGAUUUUUAAAUGGCUGCAGGAUUUAUUUACUGUACUAAGGUAGCAUAAUAAAUUGUUUAUUUAAUGUAAACUGGAAUGAAUGAUUUGAUAAGAUAUUAACUGUUUCUAAUUAAUUUGAAUAGAAUUUAAUUUUUAAGUAAAAAAGCUUAAAUUUAAUUAAGGGACGAGAAGACCCUAUAGAUUUUUAUAAAUAUGUUAUGAAUAUAUUUAAUUAUUAUUUUUUUUUGUAAAUAAAUUAUUUUAGUGGGGCAUUAACAAAAUUAAAUUAUUUUUGUUAAAAAUAACAAUAAUAGUUGAUUAAAUGAAUAAAUUAUUAUUUAAGAUAAAAAUACCUUAGGGAUAACAGCAUAAUAUUUAUAAG